AACUAUAUAAGAUCUGGCAUUGGGACAAUAAAGGGUCUCCAUUUCUCGACUAUCUUGGAGUCCGUAUCGCCAUUCCCUUCAAAUGGUGACCCCGACGUGAUAAGGGGUAGAGCAACGCUGCACUAGCGUCCGGAGGGAACCCAGCCGAACGAAUCAAGCUCGCAGCUGGACUGCAGCUUCAACCCCGGGACAUCGCCUGAAGGACAGGACAAGGACCAUGAUGGGUGCCAGCCCGUGGCGUGCAGCCUUGGUUGGGACCACCACCCUCCUCCACCUCUGCAGUUUUGGCGCCGCAUGGGUCUCAAUCCAGCCCAGACGAUAUUUCAACAGCUUAAAAAACUGAAUGAGUUGUCUGAUAAGCUAACAACAAGCUCACUGGGAUUGGAGUCUUGGCUAAAGGGAUUAGGAAUAACCGGGUGGCUAACGGAGUUGGUAAAAGAUAAUGAUUAUUUUGUUUAUCGCGUUUGUUGCAAUUAUAAUAGUUAUACCAUGCCUGUUGCAAUGUUUGCAAAAAAUGAUUAAUUGUUCGUUGCGCACGAUUUGGCU